UAAAAGUCACCUCACAUUUCUCUUGUUUUAAGAAUAAAAGUGGGAAGUGCUUUGUUCACACCACUCUUAAGUCUGGAGUCCACUGGUAAUCCCUUAUAGAUCUUUUCACAGACCUUUUAUUGUGAAGAGAUUUAGCCUCCCUGGCCAGGGAAGGUAAACAAUAUAACAUUUCUCCUUUCCUUUUCUCCCUCAGAACCCUUCCAAUAUAACAAUCCCUGCUCUCCACCAAAUUCAUGGCUUCUUUUUUUGUUAACUAUUAUUGUAUGCAAAUAUGUACAUACAUAUAUACAUGCAUAUUUCUAAAUAUAACCUCUUCAGUCCCUGUUACUUGUAUGGAUGUUUUCAGGGCUGAUUAUUUGGUACUGGACAAGCGACUGGUGUGCUCUCAUGCUCCCAGCUUUCCUCAGUUACCUGUAGUUUUUUAUGUGGGGUUGAAGCCUCAUGGGCUCUUCUCUGCCCAUGUUCUCUGCCCAUGUUCUCAGUCUCAUCCAUUGGGACUGACCUCUACAACUCUGCAUAUUGAUUGAUUGUGUUUUUCUGUAGUGGUCUCCGUACAUUGCAAAGAAAAGUUGCCUUGAUGAGCAGUGAGGACCACAAUUAUCUGUGGGCAUAAGGACAAAUGUUUAGAGAUUGUUGUUAGGGAUGAUGCUGGUUUAGCAAAUUAGUGGCUGUAAAUUCUCUACCAAUAACCAUGACCUCACUAGCACUGAAUAGUUAGGUUUGUUUCCUGUAUCAAGCAUGGUUGCCCUCUUGUUGAGCAGGUCUUAAGUCCAAUGAGUCCAAUUUAGUCCAAGGUACACACACAUGCCACAACUGCACCCGGGUUGUCAUGCCAUGCUGGUUGAUGCGGUUCACAGGUGUCAGAGCUGGGAAGGACUGUGAGUUGUCUCCCAUCUCUGGAAUCUCGCAUGGUGCUUUCUGGUACCAGGAAGUCUAAUCCAAAGGGAACAGAAAUGCAGGUCAGUUCUUGCUCUGGGUACCACAGCCAUUUUAUAUCCUGGGUUAAACAACAGUAUCCUCUUUUGGAAACAGUGCCUUUUUAGCUGUUUCCAAGGGCACAGUGCUUUUCAUCCCAGUGCUGCUUUGCUGGUCUCCUUUCUCCUGCUACAAAGUAGAGAGAAGAGGGAUGGAAAACAGGGAGUUUGGAGGACACUGUGAGACAUACGUGCUUGGGUCUGUGGGAAAAUCUCACCUCUGGAGCCAGCUUCAGUGAGUUUACAUAGCACAUGACAAUUUCCUAACAAAAGGUAUUCAUUCCACUGUAAAACUGAAGAAAAUACCUUUUUCUGAAGAACUAGAGAAGCGAGAGAGAAGGAAUCCAGUUGCUUGCUGUGCUGUGUAUUGAGAAUGAGGACAAAAAGGAGAUCAUGCCACACAGCUUCCAGAAGCCACGAUCAAAGAGGAUCAAGCCAACAAAACUAUCUGCCUUUACCCCUGGGUAACUUGAGAUACUCUCUGGCUAUACUUGGGGUGAGGGCCAAACUGCUUGAAGGCCUGUACCUGCAAUUAGUGUGUGUCUACACCUGGGAGAAGACAGCCUGAAAAACUGGAGGAAUAAAUAAAUGCCUUUUCACCUACAAACAA